AACGAACGCUGGCGGCAUGCCUAACACAUGCAAGUCGAACGCUACCGGCGGGUCUUGUUGCGCACUGGUGCGUCACGCGUGGGAAGCGUCACUUAGGUUCGGAAUACCUCCCCGCAAGGGGUAAUAAUACCGGAUAAUGGCUUCGACCCAAAGAUUUAUCGACUCAGGAUGUGUCCGUGUGGGAUUAGCUAGUUGGUAGGGUAAAAGUCUACCAAGGCGAUGAUCCAUAGCUGGUAUGAGAGGAUGAUCAGCCACACUGGGGCUGAGACACGGCCCAGACUCCUACGGGAAGCAGCAGUGGGGAAUAUUGGACGAUGGGCGAAAGACUGAGCCAGCAAGGCCGCGUGAGUGAUGAAGGCGUUAGGGUUGUAAAGCUCUUUUAAACGGGAUGAUAAUGACGGUACCGGGAGAAUAAGCUCCGGCUAACUCCGUG
rnacentral:rRNA from 1 species